rnacentral:rRNA from 1 species
GUUUAAGAGACAACCUGGAGAACUGAAACAUCUAAGUAACCAGAGGAAAAGAAAUCAAUUGAGAUUCCGUUAGUAGUGGCGAGCGAACGCGGACUAGGCCAGUAAUUUUGUUAAAAAAAUUUGAAUAGUUUGGAAAUGCUAACCAUAGAGGGUGAUAGUCCCGUAUGAGUAAUGUUUAACAAAAUUCUUGAGUAAAGCGGGACACGAGAAAUCCUGCUCGAAUAUAGGGGGACCACCCUCUAAGCCUAAAUACUCUUCAGUGACCGAUAGUGAACUAGUACCGUGAGGGAAAGGUGAAAAGAACCCCUAUUAGGGGAGUGAAAUAGAACCUGAAACUGCAUGCCUACAAUCAGUCCGAGCCUUUUUUAGGGUGAGGGCGUACCUUUUGUAUAAUGGGUCAGUGACUUAAUUUAUUAAGCAAGCUUAAGCCAUCUAGGUGUAGGCGCAGCGAAAGCAAGUCUUAAUAGGGCGAUUAGUUUAAUGAAUUAGACCCGAAAACGAAUGAGCUUACCAUGAGCAGGUUGAAAGUUGGGUAACACCAACCGGAGGACCGAACCAGUUGACGUUGAAAAGUCUUUGGAUGACUUGUGGUAAGGGGUGAAAGGCCAACCAAAUUCGUAGAUAGCUGGUUUUCCGCGAAAACUAUUUAGGUAGUGCGUUGAAUAAAUAGAUGUUUAGAGGUAGAGCACUAAAUGGGCUAGGGGGAAGAGAUUCUUACCAAACCUAAUAAAACUCCGAAUGCUAGACAUUGU